rnacentral:misc_RNA from 1 species
GAUCAACAGGUCAUUAUCAACCUUUUUUUUUUCAAAUCGAAAAUGAGAUUCAUUGAUGAAAUUUAAUGUACAUGGUUCAAGCCCAACUUCAACAAUAAGCCUUAGCUAAUCUCCAACACCCCCAAAUCCACAUAAAGAAAAACCUUGUUUGCUAUUAUCACGGAGAUGGAAUAUAAAUUUUGGUAUAAGCUAAUGGCAUAGUGAAUUUUGAUUUGUUU